rnacentral:lncRNA from 1 species
AUACUGAUUAAUCAUCAUAUUACUGCAUUACACAGAUAUUUACAACUGCUAUUAUAGAAGAUAUAUUACACUGAUAUUUACAAUCAGAAAUACAUGAUUGAGACUUAUAUUAUUACAUUGAAUUCUGUGAAGUACAUGCCCAGACAAAUAAUCCCUUACAGAAGAGGGAUGUCCAUACUCCACUCGUAUUGCACGAGGGAGAGGAAAUUUUUGAAAUAUUAAACAAAUAAGCACGUUAGCCCCCACAAAUGCUUUUGUGGGGGCUUGAACCGCUGCCCUCACAAGCAUUGUGAGGGCAGCAGCCCACCACUCCGACCAAGG